rnacentral:rRNA from 1 species
UACGGAGGGAGCUAGCGUUGUUCGGAAUUACUGGGCGUAAAGCGCGCGUAGGCGGCUUUGUAAGUUAGAGGUGAAAGCCCGGGGCUCAACCCCGGAACAGCCUUUAAGACUGCAUCGCUAGAAUCCGGGAGAGGUGAGUGGAAUUCCGAGUGUAGAGGUGAAAUUCGUAGAUAUUCGGAAGAACACCAGUGGCGAAGGCGGCUCACUGGCCCGAUACUGACGCUGAGGCACGAAAGCGUGGGGAGCAAACAGG